rnacentral:rRNA from 1 species
UACGUAGGGGGCAAGCGUUGUCCGGAUUUAUUGGGCGUAAAGAGCGUGUAGGCGGCCAUACAGGUCCGUUGUGAAAACUCGAGGCUUAACCUCGAGACGUCGAUGGAAACCGUAUGGCUAGAGUCCGGAAGAGGAGAGUGGAAUUCCUGGUGUAGCGGUGAAAUGCGCAGAUAUCAGGAGGAACACCGGUGGCGAAGGCGGAUCUCUGGGCCAUUACUGACGCUGAGGAGCGAAAGCGUGGGGAGCGAACAGG